GCGCCGAAUACUGAAUGACUAGACUUCCGGAGAGGAGACUGGAAUUUCCUGGUGUAGCGGUGAAAUGCGUAGAUAUCAGGAGGAACCCCCGGUGGUGUAGACGGCUCUCUGGACCGUAACUGACGCUGAGACACGAAAGCGUGGGUAGCAAACAGGAUUAGAUACCCUGGUAGUCCACGCCCUAAACGAUGCAUAUUUGGUGUGGGCAGUUCAUUCUGUCCGUGCCGGAGCUAACGCGUUAAAUAUGCCGCCUGGGGAGUACAGUCGCAAGGCUGAAACUCAAAGGAAUUGACGGGGGCCCGCACAAGCGGUGGAGCAUGUGGUUCAAUUCGACGCAACGCGAAGAACCUUACCUGGGCUCGAACGGCUGGUCAACGCCGGUGGAAACAUCGGUACCCCGCAAGGGGGUCCAGUCGAGGUGCUGCAUGGCUGUCGUCAGCUCGUGUCGUGAGAUGUUGGGUUAAGUCCCGCAACGAGCGCAACCCUUGUCCUGUGUUGCCAUGCCGAAAGGCGGAACUCGCAGGAGACCGCCAGCGAUAAGCUGGAGGAAGGUGGGGAUGACGUCAAGUCCUCAUGGCCUUUAUGUCCAGGGCUACACACGUGCUACAAUGGACGGUACAAAGCGCCGCUAACCCGCGAGGGGGAGCCAAUCGCAAAAAACCGUUCUCAGUUCGGAUUGCAGGCUGCAACUCGCCUGCAUGGAGCUGGAAUCGCUAGUAAUGGCAGAUCAGCACGCUGCCGUGAAUACGUUCCCGGGCCUUGUACACACCGCCCGUCACAUCACGAAAGUGGAUUGUACUAGAAGUCUGCAGGCUGACCCGCAAGGGAGGCAGCGGCCCAAGGUAUGAUCCAUGAUUGGGGUGAAGUCGUAACAAGGUAGCCGUAGGAGAACC
rnacentral:rRNA from 1 species